AUCUUUAAGUUUAUAAAGUCCAUGAUAUUACUUGCUCUUUUUUCGUGGAUUUCCUUUUCGUAUUGUGUGUUAAAACCCAAAGAUCAUGAUCUACCUAAUCAAACACAAGUUCAUGUAGAUUUUCUCCUAUGUUUUCUUCUAUAAUUUUGAAGUUGUGCCUUUUAAAUGUGUCUAAGAAUAAUUUUGAAUGAGUUGGCAUAAGUUGUAAAGUUCGUGUCUACCUCCAUUUCAUGUCAUACGGUUUCCAGUUAACGGCUCCUUAACUAUUUUUGGAGAAGUUAUGGGACACAGUCUCCGUGUCAGUGAACGCCCAAAGUUGGAUGUGUUCGCAGUUCUGCCUGCAGGGAGCGCUGUGUCCUGUGAACUGUGAGGGACGCGCGGCCUGCAGUUCCUGCACUGACCACACGGUGGCGCUGAGCUGGCCUCUCCGACCCAGGGCGCAUGCGUGUUCCCCCUCCCUGACUGCAGCUGAGAGGAGUUGUGUCUCCUCAGGCACCGCGGAGGCUUCGGCUGGGACGCCCGGCUCAGCGUCUCUGCUGACAGCAAUUCAGUCUCCUUAGGACUCGCUGGGGUUUCGGACACAGCAGGCCUGUGUCCACGCUGACGGAAGCUGGGUUUCCUGAGGACCCAGGCGACGCCGGGAGGAAAAGGGUCAGAGCUGCAUCAGGGCUGACAUCGCUCUCAGCGCCACAACCGUACUUUCCUAAAAACAAAUUCCACGCAGAUGGGAUCCAUUUCCGAUGACUGCUUUCAGACCUGAAGAAGAUGCAGUUCCACAGUGGACAGCAGCUUCAUCUACUACUCGAGAUUUCCAGCCUGGCCUUCCUGACGUCUGGCCCCAAGAAGGUUGUAUAUCUCCAACCGGCCGCACAGCCUCCAUCCUCCAGACUUCCCAGCACAGCGGAGUGUCCAUCAGGCUCUGCUGGAAGCCACAGGUCAGAGGGGUGACCCCACAAGAGUUUGAUCAGGACAAGUUCAAACUCCACAUCCCGUUGUGUCUAAACAAGCAUCACUGCCUUGAGUACUCGUGUCCACUUAGCUUCCCCAGCGGGUGCGCGUGCAAAGGGCAGCAGCACGUCCUGGUCCACAGCAAGUCUAAAGUCCCAUCACACCUUCCCAGGUGCCUGCAGGAGCCACAGCCUGGGCCACACCUAAGCUCCAGGUAAAGGGUCUGCCCCUGGGGUUUAGAUCACAGAAAGGUCAUGACCCCUUUUCAGAGAGUGGAAGGAGAAAGGGUUUGGGGACAAAAAGAUGAAGGAGAAAGAAAACUGAUUCACAGAAGAAGAGACAGCCUGAUCAGUGUUCACUGUUCAGCGUUGAGUCUGGCGAGAGGAAGGUUAGAUUGAAAAUCCAUCAGCUUCCCUCAGGGACUCGCCCAGCCUUAGGCUCCGUCUGGCUGGGACCAGGACAGCAAAGACUGUCCUUGUCUAGGAUUUCUAUUGAGGUCUGUUCUCCCAGUCUGAUAGGAAAGCAGCAACCAGCUUCCUCAGGCCUCCUCACAUCCCUGCUUCUGGUGGCCAUGAGCAAUCAUUACUGGCUCCGUAGGUGGGACUCUGCAUUGGCGCACGUGAGACUGUGUGCUCGUGUUAGAGCAGAAGCUUCUAAUCAGAGAUCUAUGGUCGGCAAACAAUUACAAACAUAGAGAGGGUCUACGAGAGAUGGUGAGACGCAGAGGGAACCACAGGCUCUGGCAGGAAACCUCCGCCUUCAUCCGCACCUGCUCGUGUGGCUGGUCUCUGUGCUCAGUGGGUCCUGAGCACCUCUGGGGGCCUCAGCCCUGCCUCAUGGUCCUCAGUGAAACCUGCAGCCCAGACCCUCCUGUCUCCCUGCAGGGAAGUUUCUGUCUGGGCUCACCCUGACCUCCCCUCCCUGUGUCCCUCGAACAGUCUGCAGCCAUGCCCUCGGUGGUUACAGAGCUCAGCUGCAGGGAGAGCUGGUUCCUGGGUGUGUCUCUGGAGAUGGGGAGUUAACUCCUAGGGGCUGGGGCUGGGGCUGUGUUAUCUUUCUAGCAUAUUCCUGAUGACCAGUGCAGCCCCUACCCCAAGGGCUGAUGGAUCCCAGCUCCAGCAAUAACCACUGGUUGGGAUGAGGAAUCCAGAGACAGCACAGGUGAGGGAGAGGGUGUGCAAGGUGCAGUCCUGGGCCCAACUCCUGUACCUGCACCUGGGACAGGACACCUGGCAACAAGGAGAAUCAGUUGCUGUCAGUCACCUGUGGCCACAGCCAUCCCCACAGCCCCGUGUCUGACACCUGCGACCCUUGUCAGGUGACACCUGACACCUGGGGAGGUGUCACCAGGCAGAGGAGAAGAACCCACAGCCUCCUCUUCUUCCGGACCACAGCUCUGCCUUCCCCAGGGACCUCAGCCCUGUCUGCGGAGGGAGCUGUGAGCUCCUGCAGCCCAGGGGUGGACUUUACCCUAGAGCUUGAAGAGGAAUUUUCAUAUUGGAAGCCUUGUCC